ensembl:rRNA 5S_rRNA 5S ribosomal RNA
GCUGGUGGUGCCGGCUGGAAGACAGCAGUCUGAUCUCCUCCAAUCUCAGAAGUUAAGCAGGGUCAGGCCUGGUUAGUACUCGGUUGGGAGACCGUGUGGGAAUACCGGAUGCUAUUGGCU